rnacentral:rRNA from 1 species
AAACCAGCACCUCAAGUGGUCAGGAUGAUUAUUGGGCCUAAAGCAUCCGUAGCCGGCUCUGUAAGUUUUCGGUUAAAUCUGUACGCUUAACGUACAGGCUGCCGGGAAUACUGCAGGGCUAGGGAGUGGGAGAGGUAGACGGUACUCGGGAGGAAGUGGUAAAAUGCUUUGAUCUCUCGAUGACCACCUGUGGCGAAGGCGGUCUACCAGAACACGUCCGACGGUGAGGGAUGAAAGCUGGGGGAGCAAACCGGAUUAGAAACCCCGGUAGUCC